UGUAUGAGACUGCAUAAAUGGCUCACCUCACCUGACCCAACGUUUAAGCUUUUGGUAGAACCAUGGGCAAUCCUAUUUCUUGGUUAUGUUUUCUCAAACUAAAUCAGCUUAUUUUCUUUUAUUAACACCUGUUCUGCUAGUCCCGUGUGCAAUCAUGGUUUCCAUUUCCACCCAUUAAAAUUGCCCAAGAAUGACAAGAGUGUUGGGCAAUCGAAAUUUUCUCCACCGUUCAGUGAGUUCUCAAACCCCAAAUAAAGGUGAUAGAUCGAUGCAGUUGAUCUAAAGAGCAAGCACAAGUGAAAGCUUAAGAUAGCGAAUUUGUUCAACCAAGUGUUAGAGAUCUGUUGAGGUCUUUGAAGAUAAUUGUGAAUGUGAAGCUAAAAGUCACUGCACCAUUGCAAACACGGAUGAUAUAUACAAGUGAAGAAGUAUGAUACUUGUGAAAUUGUCGCGGUGAAGAUGGCAAGACUUCGUGUAUUGCGAUUUGUUAAGGAUUUUCCUUAUUUCCUUUGGUUCAGUGCUAUCUUACAAACAAUCUUUGAUUGUGUCUGAUUCACGAUGCAUAAGCGAAUUUAUUUUUACAAGUAUUAUGCACGAAUAAUUGUUAUUUUGAUUGACUUCAACUACUUAUUAGAUUUUUAAACAACAGAAAUUAAAUUGUACUAUUUUAUGAUUUUUACUCAUUCUCUCACAUGUUGUGGGAGAGAAGUUUGCAUUUUGCAAUUCUUGCAAUUUUUUUUUGUUUUUUGUUAUAUGUAGGUGGAGGGUCUUAGGAGAUCGGUGAAUUUUAAGAUUUUGGGAUAGUUUCACUUUUGCACAUGAAGAUAAUUUUAAGAUAGUUUUUGCCUUACCUUUUGCACUUGAAUUUGAUUUCAGCUUUGGAAUUUCAAUCAUGGACACAUUUUUGAGGCAUAUAAAGACAAUCUCAAGACAACUGUGUGGGAAUAUUAAAAUCAUUACACCAUUUCAGAUACGGAUG